ensembl:lncRNA
UAUGAAAGCCACAAUGAUUCUUUGUUUGUUUGUUUGCUGUAUGCCUACAGGACUUCAAAAGACUGUAAAGGCUCCUGAGAGCCAGCCAGCAGCAAGUCCUUGGUCCAGUGGCCCCUGGUCCAGGAGAGGAAGGCCCAAAACCAGACCCGAGCCUCUCUGGCGCCCCGUUUCAGAGGACAUCCAGGAGAAAGAUGAGCCUUCUUAUUCUUCCUUAUCUUCAACCCCAAAACCAACCCUUUGCACAGAGGAACAGCUCUCAGAUGGUGCACCCCCUUCUCCACGAACACUUCAGGCCAUCCAGGCAGCCAUGAUGGACACUAGUUCAGAUGACGACGAACUGGUGCCUAAAAAAUCUGUCCAAAAUGCAAGCAAACGAUUAAGUUCUCAGGACGACAACGGGGGUGUCUCACCUCGCACUCUGCAGGCCAUGCAGAGUGCCAUGAUGGAUGACAAUCCAGUUACUGAAGACCUCUGCAAAGAUGAUCCAGUUCACCAGCGGAAGUAUGUCAUCAUCAGUAGCUCCGAUGGAGACGAUGAUCAAGAAGAUCGCGCAGUGAUGGAUAGGAGCAAAUCAGCUGAAGCUCAGGAAGGGGGAGGUGAGGUUUCUCCUCGGACCUUGCUGGCCAUUCAGAGAGCUAUGGGGGAAAGUGAGCCUCCUCUUGCAUCCUCUAACCAUGGGGACCAGAUGGAUCUCUUGAGCAGCUCUGAGGGGGAGGAAAUGGAAGAGGUGGUUGGAACGAGGAGCAAGGUUUUCAGAUCUGCUGUGUCCUCCGAAAGAAGCGAGCAUGGAGAAGAUGAGAGGAGUAGCCGUCUAGAAAGUAAAGAACCAGCUGCUCUCUUUCCCUCCCUACACCUAGAGUCCCAAGUUAAAGCCGUUUGCGAGCUGGGUACAUCUGGCAUCCACACUUUGCUCCAAGAUCAGAAAGCGACACAUGAGCGAGGUGGCGUUUCUGAGAAUGUCUUGCUGCAGAAAGGAAGCUUGGAAGAUGCUAAUGGCCAGAGUCCUCCAGAUGUUAACAUAACUGAGCAGAAAGAGGAGCGUAAUGGACCGCUCAUGAUAAAGAGCGAAGAUGAGGACAGUAGCUCUGAAGAAGGUUUCGUUGAAGUCUCAGAAGGGGAAGAAGCAUCUGAACAGCGCAGUUCCAUAAGUAGAGCAGCAGAGCCGUUUCAAACUACGCAGCUAGAGGUGCAGAAGAAGGACGAGGAGCAUGUAGAUAAAGAGGGGAGGCGAGAGGAAUAUUCGAGCCAGCCAAGUCCACACCUGCCCUUGGAGCAGCAGGACAUCGAGCCUUCACGAGGAGCCACGCCUGCUCCCGCCCGCAGUGAAUGGGACAGCAUCGACGUGGUGCGUCUGCCGUUAGCUU